rnacentral:rRNA from 1 species
UAACGGCGAGUGAAGCGGUAACAGCUCAAAUUUGAAAUCUGGGUCUUUUAAGCUCCGAGUUGUAAUUUGUAGAAGAUGCUUCGGGUGCGGCUCCGGUCUAAGUUCCUUGGAACAGGACGUCAUAGAGGGUGAGAAUCCCGUAUGUGAUCGGGGGCCUGCGCCCAUGUGAAGCUCUUUCGACGAGUCGAGUUGUUUGGGAAUGCAGCUCAAAAUGGGUGGUAUAUUUCAUCUAAAGCUAAAUAUUGGCCAGAGACCGAUAGCGCACAAGUAGAGUGAUCGAAAGAUGAAAAGCACUUUGGAAAGAGAGUUAAACAGUACGUGAAAUUGUUGAAAGGGAAGCGCUUGCAACCAGACUUGGGCGGGGUCGAUCAUCGGGGGUUCUCCCUCGUGCACUCGACCUCGCACAGGCCAGCAUCGGUUCCGGUGGUUGGAUAAAGGCCGUGGGAAUGUAGCUUCUUUCGGGGAGUGUUAUAGCCCACGGUGCAAUGCAGCCUACCGGGACCGAGGACCGCGCUUCGGCUAGGAUGCUGGCGUAAUGGUUGUAAGCGACCCGUCUUGAAACACGGACCAAGGAGUCUAACAUCUAUGCGAGUGUUUGGGUGUCAAACCCAUGCGCGUAAUGAAAGUGAACGGAGGUGAGAACCCUUAAGGGUGCAUCAUCGACCGAUCCUGAUGUCUUCGGAUGGAUUUGAGUAAGAGCAUACCUGUUGGGACCCGAAAGAUGGUGAACUAUGCCUGAAUAGGGUGAAGCCAGAGGAAACUCUGGUGGAGGCUCGCAGCGGUUCUGACGUGCAAAUCGAUCGUCAAAUUUGGGUAUAGGGGCGAAAGACUAAUC